rnacentral:rRNA from 1 species
AUGAAUCGGGCCAGCCGGAUCUCACGCCGCACCUCCGACCCCGCCUCGCCGGAGCUCACCCCGCCCUCGCCCGAACUCGUGGAGGCCCGCGUCGUCCCUCCCAGUUCUCUGGCAGGAGAGAGAAGUCAGAGGAAGAAGAAGGCAGUCAGACUCGGCUCGACCCUGAAGCUGCUCCGUCGGCGCGCCGCCUGCCCCGCGGCCGCAUCCACCGACAAAAGCACCAGACGGGACACCCGGCCGCACGCACGUCUCCUCCAGCCCCCCUCCUGGCCGGCGGCGAUGAGCGGCGGGCUUCCGGGUUUCCACAAUGCGCCGGUGUCGAGGGCCGUGGUCGUCGCCGCCGCGCUCUUCUCCGUCCCCUUCGGCCUCCGCUCCCGCUUCCUCGACCUCGGCCUGUCCCACCAGGCAAGUCGACCUACCCUACCCACUACCCAGGUGUUCGAGCGUCAGAUAGGCUCAAACAAGUAUGCUGUAAGUAAGAGGAAAAGGAGGCUAACUUGUAGUGGACGACAACCUUGUAUGCGUGGUCUCCCUGGCUUGCCGCAUCGCCAUCACCGCAUGUAUCAUCGUCGUCGUCCUUCCAUCGGUGAAAGGGCACAGGGCCACGAUAGCCUUGCCCGGCCGUCGCCUAGCACUCGCGGAGGAGCCAUUCCGCUUCCUCCUACAUUGAGCGGAGGGCCACUGCGGCCAAUGCUAAACCCCGCCGUUGUUCCCCUAGCGGCGGCCUUGGCCCUGCCAACCUUGUUGGAGCAACAAUUCCUUGCUAAUCUUGUCGAGCUCCCCGUCGAGGCAGCUGCGGCGACGCAUGGCCAUCUCCGCAGUGGUGAUGGACCGGUUGAGAGACCAAACAGCCACCAGAAUGGGGUCGUUGGGGGCCUAGGGCCAUGCCUCAUCUCACUUGGCAAACACGAAGCAAACUAUUGCUUCCAAAGAUGGCUCCUUCGGUAUGAGAAUCAAUCUGAAGCUGCCUUCGAGUAA